UACGUAGGUGGCAAGCGUUGUCCGGAUUUACUGGGCGUAAAAGAGCGCGCAGGCGGUCAGAUAAGUCGAAUGUGAAAGCCCCCGGCUCAACUGGGGAGGGUCAUUCGAUACUGUUCGACUCGAAGGCAGGAGAGGGAAGCGGAAUUUCCGGUGUAGCGGUGAAAUGCGUAGAUAUCGGAAGGAACACCAGUGGCGAAAGCGGCUUCCUGGUCCAGCACCGACGUUCAGGCACGAAAGCGUGGGGAGCAAACAGG
rnacentral:rRNA from 1 species